CCUACGGGAGGCUGCAGUGGGGAAUAUUGCGCAAUGGGCGAAAGCCUGACGCAGCGACGCCGCGUGAAGGAAGAAGGCUUUCGGGUUGUAAACUUCUUUUAAGGGGGAAGAGCAGAAGACGGUACCCCUUGAAUAAGCCACGGCUAACUACGUGCCAGCAGCCGCGGUAAUACGUAGGUGGCAAGCGUUGUCCGGAUUUACUGGGUGUAAAGGGCGUGCAGCCGGAGAGACAAGUCAGAUGUGAAAUCCACGGGCUCAACCCGUGAACUGCAUUUGAAACUGUUUCCCUUGAGUGUCGGAGAGGUAAUCGGAAUUCCUUGUGUAGCGGUGAAAUGCGUAGAUAUAAGGAAGAACACCAGUGGCGAAGGCGGAUUACUGGACGAUAACUGACGGUGAGGCGCGAAAGCGUGGGGAGCAAACAGGAUUAGAUACCCCUGUAGUC
rnacentral:rRNA from 1 species